GAUGAAUGCUGGCGGCGUGCCUAAUACAUGCAAGUCGUACGGAAAGGCCCUUCGGGGUACUCGAGUGGCGGACGGCUGAGUAACGCGUGGGAACGUGCCCCAAAGUGAGGGAUAACGCACCGAAAGGUGUGCUAAUACCGCAUAUGGUCUUCGGAUUAAAGCUUCGGCGCUUUGGGAGCGGCCCGCGUACGAUUAGAUAGUUGGUAGGGUAAUGGCCUACCAAGUCGACGAUCGUUAGCUGGUCUGAGAGGAUGAUCAGCUAGACUGGAACUGAGACACGGUCCAGACUCCUACGGGAGGCAGCAGUAAGGAAUCUUCCACAAUGGGGGCAACCCUGAUGGAGCAACGCCGCGUGCAGGAUGAGGCCCUCGGGUCGUAAACUGCUUUUAUGAGUGAAGAAUAUGACGGUAACUCAUGAAUAAGCACCGGCUAACUACGUGCCAGCAGCCGCCGUAA
rnacentral:rRNA from 1 species